AUCAUGACACUGGUACGAGGUCCAAUAGUUGAACUAUUUUGGACAACAGGAAAUGCCGGUCAUAACUCUCAAAGUGGUGGGUUAAAUCUAAGCCAUGCUAUCAAAGGUUCCAUCAUGAUAACAAUUGGGUGCUUCAGUUGGGCUGCAUUCAUGAUUUUGCAGGCAAUCACACUGCGGACUUAUCCCGCUGAGCUCUCGCUCACUGCUUGGAUAUGCUUGUUGGGAACAACUGAGGGAGCCAUAGUAGCAAUGGUAAUGGAGAGAGGAAAACCUGCAGUGUGGGCCAUAAACUGGGACUCUAAGUUUCUUGCAGCUGUAUACAGUGGAAUA
rnacentral:misc_RNA from 1 species